GCCCUCGUGUCCUAAUGGCUAUGGAGUUAGACUUCGAAUCUAGAGGUUGCGGGUUCGAGUCCCGUCGAGGGCU